UACGGAGGGUGCGAGCGUUGUCCGGAAUCACUGGGCGUAAAGGGCGCGUAGGUGGCCUGAUAAGUAGGGGGUGAAAUCCUGCGGCUUAACCGCAGGGCUGCCUUCUAAACUGUCAGGCUUGAGCACAGUAGAGGCAGGUGGAAUUCCCGGUGUAGCGGUGGAAUGCGUAGAGAUCGGGAAGAACAUCAGUGGCGAAGGCGGCCUGCUGGGCUGUUGCUGACGCUGAGGCGCGACAGCGUGGGGAGCAAACAGG
rnacentral:rRNA from 1 species